UGCCUAAUAAUUAUGCACACCUGAUAUAGGGUGUUGAUGUCAUUAGACCACACCCCUUCUCAUUACAGAGAUGCACAUCACCUAAUAUGCUUAAUUGGUAGUAGGCUUUCGAGCCUAUAGGGCUUUGGAGCGUGAUGUCACUGGAGGUGGGCCACGCCCCCUUCCGCCAUGACAGUAGGCUAGACACAGGAUACAGCUUCAGCUAUGGUUCGUAUGUGUUGUGUUAUCAGUUGCAACGUUUGAUCACACGAUCGUGAAGGCAAGAAGCUGGAUAAUGGGCUCUCUUUUCAUCGUUUUUCAACCUGGAGGCAACGUGAGGGAUCCCAUGUAUCCGAUAUUACUAAACAAAGACGUCAGGCUUGCAUUGCAGCGGUGAGACGAGCGGAUCGAGUUCUGUGCAAUCCCCAGCUUUUUGUUGAGGCUAUUUAGAGCAGCACGUUGUUUGGAGAAGUAUUUCCCAACAAGUUCAGGAAGACACACUUUAAGAAAGAAGUCUUGUGCUUGCUUUAAACGUGGUUCCCAGAAAUCCACAUCAGGGAAGAUGCGUAUGACAGAAGGUCUCUCUGUGUCCACACAAACGAGGUCACAGUGCAGUUUCAUUCAGUCGUUGUGAGUGCAGUACCUGAAACACACAAAAACCACUUUUAAUAAAAGGUCUGUAAUGACCCAAGGCUAAUAUAGAUGGGUUGGCUGUACGUGCAAAUCAAAAACUGUAACAAGGAAGUUGUUUAGAAAGUUAUCAAGUUCAAACCGACUUACCUUUGUCUUAACGACAACGUACUCGCAGCGUGGAGGCAUAAAGAUGGACAAAUCUUGCACCCAGCCGUUCGUGAAUUGGAUGUGGGCCUCCAGGGUAGGUCGUCUGGGUUUCCACUCCGCUUCCUUAUUUCAUACGGGUCCACAUUACCGAUGCACGCAAUUUUUUGAAAGUACCGUCUCUUGGCGUCUGGGCGCAAUCGGUCGCGAUACAGCCCUUUGUCUGUGGAGUCAGCGCAUACACAGCAAACCAGUUUAAGAAUUAUGCUUAUUAUUAUUAAUAAGAACCUUCAGACUCUGCAGCUGCAUAACAAAAGCCUGUAAGAUAAAAUUAGUGCACAUGACAGGUGUGUGAUUCAUCUGGAAGUUAUGUGCGGAUUAGUGUACAAUGAGAGCAAUUUAGUAUGUUUUUAGAGGCCCAUGAGCAGUGUUGGUGCCCAGUCUGGAUUUGUUACAUCCAUUUCAUAUGCUGGUUUGCCUGCAAUAAUGCUAAAUCAUAAGCUACUCAGUCGACAUGAUGACAUGACGUGGUUCUGCAGCAUCACACAUUAGCAUGUUUUAUCUCAUUAUCUAUGACCUCAGCACAUUGAAAAUAACACUAAAAGCAUUUUAAUAGUGAUAUGAAUUAAUUUAGAACUCACCGGAAAGAAGAUGCAGAGACCAAACCAACAAAAAGCUGGGAUUGCACAGAACUCGAUCCGCUCGUCUCACCGCUGCAAUGCAAGCCUGACGUCUUUGUUUAGUAAUAUCGGAUACAUGGGAUCCCUCACGUUGCCUCCAGGUUGAAAAACGAUGAAAAGAGAGCCCAUUAUCCAGCUUCUUGCCUUCACGAUCGUGUGAUCAAACGUUGCAACUGAUAACACAACACAUACGAACCAUAGCUGAAGCUGUAUCCUGUGUCUAGCCUACUGUCAUGGCGGAAAGGGGGCGUGGCCCACCUCCAGUGACGUCAACUCCAAAGCCCUAUACAGCUUGGAGUAAGACAACAUGCAUGAAGAGGAUGAUGUGGACAAAAUACUCAUUUGCCUAAUAAUUCUGCACUCCCUGUAUUGUAUGCCAACACCAAGGAGGCAUACAUCUCAU
rnacentral:lncRNA from 1 species